rnacentral:rRNA from 1 species
UACAGAGGCCACGAGCGUUAGGCGGAAUCACUGGGCUUAAAGCGUGUGUAGGUGGAUAGGUAAGUACCUUGUGAAAUCCCACAACUCAACUGUGGAACUGCUUGGUAUACUGCCCGUCUUGAGGCACUCAGGGGCGAGCGGAACAGAUGGUGGAGCGGUGAAAUGCGUAGAUAUCAUCUGGAACGCCAAUGGUGAAGACAGCUCGCUGGGGGUGUACUGACACUGAGACACGAAAGCCAGGGGAGCAAACGGG